rnacentral:rRNA from 1 species
GACGGAGGCUGCAAGCGUUAUCCGGAAUGAUUGGGCGUAAAGCGUCCGCAGGUGGCAGUUCAAGUCUGCUGUCAAAGACCGGGGCUUAACUUCGGAAAGGCAGUGGAAACUGAACAGCUAGAGUAUGGUAGGGGCAGAGGGAAUUCCUGGUGUAGCGGUGAAAUGCGUAGAGAUCAGGAAGAACAUCGGUGGCGAAGGCGCUCUGCUGGACCAUAACUGACACUCAGGGACGAAAGCUAGGGGAGCGAAUGGG